rnacentral:lncRNA from 1 species
UGUCAUAUAUGUUUUAUUAUUAUUGUUUGAAAGACCAUAAAUGGCCAUGUAUAAGAAAAAUAGAAAAAGAAGAAGGCAAACGUAACAGUGGAGCUUCCAUCUAUAUCUAUUUUACAGAAGGAUGGGAGAAUGGUUUUAUUUAAUUUGCACUAAUCAUGAAUAAGAUGGGCUUCCACAUCCUUAUAAGCUUUGCCAAUUAGUUGAAGGUAAUUGUAUGGAUCGGGUGUGGUAGAAUCAUAUUUUUCAUAUUCUAUAGUUAUGUAAACCACACAUUGUUGAGGAGUACUCUUCGGUACGAGAUGAUGAGUGAUCUUGAAGCUUUUAUAUUUCUUUACCACAUCUCCUUCUAUCACAGUGAAAAUUGCUUUAAGCUUUUCAUCAUCGAAUUUCGAUUGUUCCUUCAAAACCUCAGCCUUGCCAUCUUUUGUUAACAAAAUAAUGUAAUCACAUAUACAAAACAAAUCAAAGAGACUUUCAGAUAAAAUGUUAUAUAUUCACUGAAUAAAGAAAAUUUGAAGUUAACAAAAUUAAAGUGAAUAUAUAACAACAUAUAGAUAGCUAAUGAGAUGGAUGGUGUUGAUACUCACCGAUGGUGUAAUUCCAUACUUUCAUGGAGUCAUGACUACAAUUGUCCCAAUCACCUUCAUCAACUGCUACGUCUUGAAUGAUUGAAGUAACAUUAGGAAAAUGAUAAACAUUGUUUUUGAUGAAAUAAUAGCAUUUGUUGGCACUUAUCUUCAAUUCUACUGGCUGCAUAAUUUUCUGAACGCAAGACAUGAUUUCGUUUAAAGAUAACUCACCCACACCUAAACCCCAAUGUCUUCCUCUUUUAAUACAUGCAACCUAUUGAUCAACUAUUUUGAAUAUGUGUCCUGGAUAAACAUAGACUUUCAUCCAAUAUAUAAUUAAAAUGAGGUGUUAUCUUAUUCUACUUUGGUUUCUAGAUUUUUAAAGAUUUUCGUUUCAGUCCUUUAACUUUUAGAUGAAAAUAAAUUACUUUCAUUCGUGUCAUUCAAAUUUCACUAACUUUUUAACAUAACAAUGAUACGAUUUUUGUAUUUGGAUGACUAUGUCUAAAUUCAUCAUAUUAAUUAAAUUUAUUAAUUAUAAAAAUAUUUAUUUACAAUUUUAUUGAGUUUAUUUCCCACACGAGUUGUUCUUAUAUUUAGUUUUUUUUUUUUUUUUUUUUGUUUUAUUUCACCUCGUCUUGAAUGCUAACAUACCAAUAUAAUCUUCUCAUGAUUUGCUUAAAAAUUUCAGUUUAAAAAAAAAAUGAAAUAAAAAACCGAAACAUGAUAACCCUAUACUGAGUUCUACAAAAAGGGUAAGGUUUCGUAAUCUUUGAUACCACAUUAGAUAACUACAAAGUUAUAUCUUAAAAUCAAAUAACUAACUACACAUAUAUAGACUGUUUUUAGUUUCGUUUAUAUAUUUCAAAAAAAAUUAGUUGCAAAUAUAACAAUUAGGUUCAAAAUUUUAUAAUAUAUAGCAACAAUUUUAAAAAAAUUACAAAUCAGUCAUUUAUAAAUAACAAGAAUCUAUUAUAAAUAGACUUUAGUUUACAAUUUUUUGAAAAUGUUAUUAUACACUUAAUUAUUAUUUCUAGAGUUGCUAUCAAUUCUUUUUUUUUGUUUGUUUAUUUAAAAUUUAACAAUACUUCUUAUUCUUCGUAUAUUUUUAUUUAUUUAUUAUCAAAAAAGAAAAAAAAAACAUAAAAUAUGUUUUUUUAAUGGAAAACGAAAAUGCAUAAAAUAUUAUUAAUUAACUCAAUUAUAACACAUAGACUCUGCACUCCACAAACUUGUUAACUAAAUGAGAGCAACUCAAGUACACACCCAAACACAUACAAUUAUUUCAAACUUAACUGACUCAACUUUAUGUUUUGUAAGUGGCAAUUAAGUGAGAUAGUUUUAUUGAACAUAUAAAUAUAGGCAUGAGCUUGAUUCUGUUCAUCAUGUCAAGAGAGGUUGGAAGGAAAUGAGUUUACGGAAUUGGUCCCAUACUUUCUCCCAGAUAACAGCUUCAUAGUUUCCCUCAUUAUCGUUUUCAUCCUUAGCCGUUAAGAUAAAACGGUAGUUGACUCCGGCCACAAUCUGCGACUCGCACUUGACCACACUACUCAAUGCCAAUUGAUAUCCUCCUUCUUUGUUGUACUCUGCUACCGUCCAUUCUGCUAAUUCUUUUAUGUGUGGAUUAUCAAGAUCCUGAACUGGAGUAUAAUCCGACAUUUCAAUUUCCUUGCUUACUAGAAAUACACACAAACUUAUGAAAUAUGGGUAAUUAGUAAGUGCCUCUCCUAUCCAAACAACAGAGGUUCAUAUUUAUACUACCAUUCCCAACCCACCUCCAAUUAUUACUUCUUUUUCUGUUUUAAUUUUUUUUUUAUCUUUGGAUUGCUCAUUAUACAAUUUUUUAAUUAUUUUAUUUUUAUUUUAUAUAUUCAACCUAAAUAACAGAUGAAACGUGGGUCACGACUCUAUAAGUAUAUAUAUAUAGAAAUCAAAUGCGGAUCAUGGGGUCUAUAAAAAAUUAUAUUUAUUAUUCUAUCUUCACUUUCAAGGUUGGCAAUAAUAGCAUUUUUGACUUUUAAUAAAUAAAAUCAAAUAUUUAUUGAUGUAUACAUGUAGAUACAAUCCCAAUGGUUAUGGUUGAAGUUAGCCAAACAGCACGAUCUAUAUCAUGUAACAAUACUAUAAUUAUUAAAUACUAUUGCCCUCUUUUCAAAAAAUGAAAUGAAAUGAAAUAUAUAUAUUUAACUAACUAAAGAAAUGCAAUGCAGAUCAGGAGGUCUACAAAAAUUUAUAUUUAUAUUUAAGUAACUAAAGAAAUGAAAUGCGGAUCACGGAGUCUACAAAAAAAAAUUAUAUUUAUUAUUAUUAUCUUCAGUUUCAAGGUUGGCAAUAACUUCCUUACCUUCCAAAUUUAAGUUUGUGUAUGAAAUGCUUAAACAUUUCUCAAAUUUAUUUCAAAUUUUGAAUAUUAACUUACACCAUCAGCUGACCCUUUUUCUUUCUUUUUGUUAAUGCCUACUUUUCGUUUAUUUUAAACUAAACACUUUAAAUAUCUAUUUUGUCUUAAAUAUCUAUUUUGUCAUCUCCUAUCAUUUUUAAACCAAUUAGUUAGACUAAUUAAGUAGGCUUGAUGAGAAAUACCAAAUGUGGUAUCAUUUUUAAAUAGGUUUUGCUUGCUAUGAAGUGUAGGCCAAUGUUGGUAUUAUUUCAAAUUUAAAAAUAAAAUAAAAUAAAAAGAAAGAAAGAAAAACUAGUCACUCCAACAAAUAUGGAUGCAUAUUAUCAAUUUAGAGUUAAGGCUUUAUAUUUUAAAUAUGGUUUAAAUAAAUAAAAAUUAUGGACGUGGACUUAUGCUCACAAGCUCAAAAAUGACGAAAAUGGUCAAAGUUGUAAAAUGUGAAAAUGUUGACUUUUGACUUUUGAAAAGUCAAAGUUGUAAAUGUGAUUUAUGAAUUUUGGGUAAAAUUAUGUAGAUUCAUGUGGACACGUUGGAAUGUGAUGACACUAGGCUCACUAAGAGUUAAUGCAAAUCAUGGGUGCUUAAGGGUAGGAUAUCCAAAGAGUAUGAAUUGGGUGUAGAAAACUUCAUCAAUUUUAAAUUUUUUAAUACAAAUGAUUCGUUUUUUGUUAUCCUUGUUUGAAAUGUGCAAGUUGUCAAAAACAAAGUCGCACUAAUAUUAGAGAUCAAAUAUGUCACUGAAAUUGAUGAAAGUUACAAAAUUUGGUUUUUGCAUGGUGAAAUAACUACUAACUCAUCCUUAUCUAUGGAAAAUCUUCUAAGUUUGACAUUUACAUGUACGAAGAAGAGAAUGAUGUUAGAAGUCUAAACGAAAUGUUAGAAAGUUGUUCAUGAAAGUUAAUCUGAACGUGUCUAAACAUUAUUACGUUGCCGUUAGUGUUGAUGUAACAACAUGAGAAGUAUGAAUGUAGAUAGCUUUUGUCAAUGUUUGUCUCACUGUCUAUAUAUUCUUAUUAUUUUAAAGUUAUUCAUCUAUAUCAUAAAUAAAUAUCAAUUUCCUUUGACAUAAUAUUGUGAGGAAUAGAUUCUUCAUUUUGCUUUCAUCCCUCAAAACCACCCCAUUCAAAUUAUUUUCUCUAGAUUCCACAGAAUAAUAAAUUACAAAUUCUAAACAAAAAAUUAUAACGUAUAUAUUAUUUCCAAAAUUGUGGUUGUUAACGUCUAAAAUUGAAAAAAAAAAUUAAACCAAAGGUAUUAAUAUUGUCAUAUAUGUUUUAUUAUUAUUGUUUGAAAGACCAUAAAUGGCCAUGUACAAGAAAAAUAGAAAAAGAAGAAGGCAAACGUAACAGUGGAGCUUCCAUCUAUAUCUAUUUUAGAGAAGGAUGGGAGAAUGGUUUUAUUUAAUUUGCACUAAUCAUGAAUAAGAUGGGCUUCCACAUCCUUAAAAGCUUUGCCAAUUAAUUGAAGGUAAUUGUAUGGAUCGGGUGUGGUAGAAUCAUAUUUUUCAUAUUCUAUAGUUAUGUAAACCACACAUUGUUGAGGACUCUUCGGUACCGGAUGAUGAGUGAUCUUGAAGCUUUUAUAUUUCUUUACCACAUCUCCUUCUAUCACAGUGAAAAUUGCUUUAAGCUUUUCAUCAUCGAAUUUCGGUUGUUCCUUCAAAACCUCAGCCUUGCCAUCUUUUCUUAACAAAAUAAUGUAAUCACAUAUACAAAACAAAUCAAAGAGACUUUCAGAUAAAAUGUUA